rnacentral:rRNA from 1 species
UACGGGGGGAGCAAGCGUUGUUCGGAUUUACUGGGCGUAAAGGGCGCGUAGGCGGCCACCGCAAGUCGACUGUGAAAUCUCCGGGCUUAACCCGGAAAGGUCAGCCGAUACUGCGGGGCUAGAGUGCGGAAGGGGCAACUGGAAUUCUCGGUGUAGCGGUGAAAUGCGUAGAUAUCGAGAGGAACACCUGCGGCGAAGGCGGGUUGCUGGGCUGACACUGACGCUGAGGCGCGAAAGCGUGGGGAGCGAACAGG